rnacentral:rRNA from 1 species
AUUCGAUGCAACGCGAAGAACCUUACCUACUCUUGACAUCCAGAGAAGCCAGCGGAGACGCAGGUGUGCCUUCGGGAACUCUGAGACAGGUGCUGCAUGGCUGUCGUCAGCUCGUGUUGUGAAAUGUUGGGUUAAGUCCCGCAACGAGCGCAACCCUUAUCCUUGUUUGCCAGCGAGUAAUGUCGGGAACUCCAGGGAGACUGCCGGUGAUAAACCGGAGGAAGGUGGGGACGACGUCAAGUCAUCAUGGCCCUUACGAGUAGGGCUACACACGUGCUACAAUGGCGCAUACAGAGGGCAGCAAGCUAGCGAUAGUGAGCGAAUCCCAAAAAGUGCGUCGUAGUCCGGAUUGGAGUCUGCAACUCGACUCCAUGAAGUCGGAAUCGCUAGUAAUCGUGAAUCAGAAUGUCACGGUGAAUACGUUCCCGGGCCUUGUACACACCGCCCGUCACACCAUGGGAGUGGGCUGCAAAAGAAGUGGGUAGUUUAACCUUUCGGGGAGGACGCUCACCACUUUGUGGUUCAUGACUGGGGUGAAGUCGUAACAAGGUAGCCCUAGGGGAACCUGGGGCUGGAUCACCUCCUUA